rnacentral:rRNA from 1 species
GACGAACCGUACGAACGUUAUUCGGAAUCACUGGGCUUAAAGGGUGCGUAGGCUGCGCAGCAAGUUGGGUGUGAAAUCCCUCGGCUUAACCGAGGAACUGCGCCCAAAACUGCUGUGCUCGAGGGAGACAGAGGUGAGCGGAACUUAGGGUGGAGCGGUGAAAUGCGUUGAUAUCCUAAGGAACACCGGUGGCGAAAGCGGCUCACUGGGUCUCUUCUGACGCUGAGGCACGAAAGCGUGGGGAGCAAACAGG